rnacentral:tRNA from 1 species
GGGGCCGUAGCUCAGUUGGGAGAGCGCUACCCUCGCACGGUAGAGGACGUGGGUUCGAAUCCCAUCGGCUCCACCA